rnacentral:rRNA from 1 species
GGAAUUGUUCGCAAUGGGCGCAAGCCUGACGACGCAACGCCGCGUGGAGGACGAAGAUCUUCGGGUCGUAAACUCCUGUCGAGCGGGAAGACUAGUGUGCGGGUGAAUACCCCGUACGCCGGACGGUACCGCUAACGGAAGCCCCGGCUAACCCCGGGCCAGCAGCCGCGGUAAUACGGGGGGGGCAAGCGUUGUUCGGACUUACUGGGCGUAAAGGGCUCGUAGGCGGCCACCUAAGUCGGUUGUGAAAUCCCCCGGCUCAACCGGGGAAGUGCGUCCGAUACUGGGUGGCUUGAAGCCGGGAGAGGGAUGCGGAAUUCCAGGUGUAGCGGUGAAAUGCGUAGAUAUCUGGAGGAACACCCGUGGCGAAGGCGGUAUCCUGGACCGGUCUUGACGCUGAGGAGCGAAAGCUAGGGUAGCAAAC